GCACCAUGUUUUAUUAACAUCUCUACACCUCAUGUGAAAAGUUUCAUGUCAAGAAGCAACCACCACCAGAGCUCCGACACCACUGCGCCAGAGGCGGAAAAAUUGGCUGGAAUCAAGAAAUAUAACCACUUUUCUACUCCUCUAAACCUCAUCUAUCCUAAUCUCUCAUCUAUUCUCACAAAGAGUUAAUCAAUUCUAAAAAUUGGAGCAUUAAAGUCAAGAACCCCAAGCAUCAAAACUGAAAUUAAAUGGAGAUGGAGGAGAAUCAAGCCACCAAACCUUGGGGCAUUGAUUCUCCAACGUACAAGCUACAUUGUGGUAUCAAAAAUUCAGCAAACAAAGAAGGAUAUAAAAUCACCGACCUACAAGACGGAGGAUUAUCUUGGAACUUGAUGAAAUUUGAAGAUGAUGAAGAUGAAGAAAACAAAGGGACACAUGAAAUAGGUGUAACCGCUUACAUGCACGGAGAAUAGUGAUUCCAGGGUUGUACUGAUGCAGGUUGUGUGCAUGGCGUAACCGGUUAUCGCAAUCAGUUACAUGCGCAAAAAAUGGUGUUUCUUGAAGGAUGGUGGUGGUUGCAGCGUAAAUUCAACAACUUCCUUCUGCAAUUUUAUUCAAGUUAUGUAUGGUGUAACAUGUAGCAUGCUUACGAUGAUGUGAUAAAACUAGGAUUAUGGAUGCAAUAUGUGUAAAAAUGAAUUGGCACAAUGUUGAUGCUUAUGUAAUGCAAUUAUGCUUAGGAUU